CAAACCUCAAGCCCCCCUGUGAGCUUGGUUUUGGGGCAUCUGCUUGGCUUUGGCCUCGCAGGCCCUAAAAAUCGACGGCGGACCUGUUAGGCCUCUGAGCGCAGUAAAUUUUCUCGCUUUUGGGUCCUAGCUGACUCUUGCCUCACCUAUAAUUUUCUAA
rnacentral:misc_RNA from 1 species